AAUUUUAAUAUUUCGUGCCCGGACGAAAACCGGUUACGACAAAGACCAAAGUCAGAUCUUGUUGAAGAGAUUUGGAGAUUACAAGCUGCACUCAGUGAGCAGACUGAAGUCACCAAGUACAGUCAGCAGGAGUUUGAAAGACUUCAAUAUGAAAAGAUUCUGUGUAGAGUUUGCUUUGAGGAACAAAUCAAUGUAGUCCUCCUUCCAUGUAGACAUCAUGUCCUCUGCAGGU